rnacentral:rRNA from 1 species
UUAGGAAUCUUGCGCAAUGGGCGAAAGCCUGACGCAGCGACGUCGCGUGACCGAUGAAGUCUUUCGGGAUGUAAAGGUCUUUUCUGGGGGAAGAAGGAUGUGACGGUACCCCAGGAAUAAGCCCCGGCUAACUACGUGCCAGCAGCCGCGGUAAUACGUAGGGGGCGAGCGUUGUCCGAAUUCACUGGGCGUAAAGCGCGCGUAGGCGGACUAUUAAGUUGUGGGUGAAAUCCCGGGGCUCAACCCCGGAACUGCCUGCAAAACUGGUAGUCUUGAGGUAUGAAGAGGGAAGUGGAAUUCCAGGUGUAGCGGUGAAAUGCGUAGAUAUCUGGAGGAACACCCGUGGCGAAGGCGGCUUCCUGGUCAUAUCCUGACGCUGAGGUGCGAAAGCCAGGGGAGCGAACGGG